GCUCAGUUGGUUAGAGCGUGGUGCUAAUAACGCCAAGGUCGCGGGUUCGAUCCCCGUACCGGCCAAAGGCCUUUCUAAUGUUUAUUUCACAGUAACAAUUUUGUGUAGCCACGUCAAAGCUCACAAGAGAAAAAGAAUGUAAAUGUGUGUGAACCCAGCAAUCUACACAGACUUCUAAUGCUUGUUUCACAGUAGCAACUGUGGGCAGUGAUACAGAAAGUCACAAGAGAACACGAAACUUCCCUCACUCAACUCUAGAGAUACUGGACUUAAGGAAAUGUCCCCAUAGAACGCUGAGCCUUUCACCUCCUCUUUGCUCGUCUCACGGCUUUGUCAGACACGAAACCAUCUUCUGGAAAAUGUCUUCCCUGACACCUCUCCUACUUUUCUGAGUUUGGGUUGCUUUCCUCCUAGCACUCACGGAGAUCCAGGAAGAGAAUCCCGGUGGGUUCUAACCUCAACCUGUAAAUCCACUAAGCAAGCUCCUACUGAACACCUAUGAUGCAAGCUCAAUCCAAGAGGCCAGCACUCCGCAAGGGGAAGGCAACCAAAGCAAUAGGCACAAAAUUGCCUUGUAUUCAAGUUCCAAGUACCAACCAGCCUUCCACGUGUUGUUGUUUCAAAGAUAACUCUAUUUGCAAAGCCUUUACGCUACUGUUCAGAGAUUUCCGGAGUGUGUGCAGCUUCAGUGAGAACUGGAAAGUGGGCCAUUGCGCAGCUCAGCUCUCAGGCUCUUUGUAGCUUCUGAAGUGAACAGCGUGAGUCUUUCCGUAGCUCCAGUGCCCAUUAUACUUUGUGGUGCAGACUACGUCCUCCAUAAACGUGGUAGAAUGGGCAAGAGAAACAUGAGUGAAAGGUCUUUUACCAGUGAAGCAUUCAAGAUGGCUGGUACUUCCUCGUUUUCUUCGACAGGUGACUAAUGAAGCCGUUCUCCACGUUGUACUGUAUGGACAUGCGGCCCCAAGUGACAACAUCGAUCCCACUACCUCUCACAUGCUAAGCGAGUACUCUACCACUUGAGCUCAUUCGUCACCUACCGCAAAACUUUCUGCCCUUUCCUUUAUUCAGGAGUAGAUGUGCGCGACUACCCACCAUUUCUUGCGUCUCGGAACAAAGGAAAUGUCUCGAUUAUUAAUGGGGAACCAGGACUCGACCUAAGGCGAGUCUACUCAAAAAUGGCCAAGGGCAAGGGCAUGAUGGCUAUUCCUCUGCGAGGGAGAGGGGAAAACGUAACCAGGAGAAAGUGGACACUGGAAAAGUCUGGUGCUGUAAGAUUUCACGUUCCAGAUUUUCAGGGAGAGAAGCGAGCACGUCCCAGCUGGGGAGCGCCCGCCCAGAGCGGCCUGCUAAUUUGGCCCAGCUAUCCCAGGAUGACGAUCUUUCUUUUAAAAGAGGCGGGAUUAUCACUUGUUCCUUGCAGCUCUGGACUCCCGGGAAGAAGCGGUCACUCCCGGUCAGAUUCUGGGAGACCAGAGAAACCUGUUGUUUCCGUUGAGUUUCAAAUAGAGGACCUUCCAUGUGUUAGGCCAGCGUGGUAACGACUACACCAUAGAAACCCUUUGCAUCACAGGCUUUUUAUAUUUUGAG